UUUGUAGAUAAAGUUACAUUUUGCUAAAAAGUGUUACCUUCUCCUAUGUAUGGGUUUUUUUGGACACCCUUAUUAUUUAACAGUAGUCUAUUAUUAUAAUAUAAAAACUAUAAUAAAAAAGUGAAUACUAUUCAGACUUUAGGUGCAUCAUACAGUAAUAGCUAAACCAUAAUAACUGAACCAUUUGCGCCUUCAUUGUAUGUCACAGUGUGGAUUUUUAACUUCUACAGUGUAAGUCCCAUAAAACAUAUCGUCUUUGCGUUUCUCAGAAACUUUGCUAAUUUCUUCAAUACAAGAGAGUCUUCAGAUGGUCAACAAUGCAAUUCAUCAAACAGCAAAAGGCAGGAAUCAGUCUCAGCCAUCCUACAUGCAGAUGUUUGCUUUCUCCAGGCAAGCAGCAGCAGGAAGUUAUGAAAUAUCAAAUGCAGCAGACGUCUUUCAAACCACUCUGCUACUUCUAAAGAAAAAGGAGAGUAAGAGGCAGAAAAGAUCUGUCUCUGUUUCAGAGCUUCUUUCCCUGGAGGAAAUGGAGCUGAUAGCAAAUCUGUCUGGGUGUCCUCCACCCCUACAGCCAGCCAGCUGUCCUAUAGGAGGAGAUUCAGAGAAAUACCGCACCAUCUCUGGAGUGUGCAAUAACAGGUAUCUGGCUACUCUCUUAAUAAUUCAUUCAUAACACACUGCACAAUGCCCAUCUUUCAGGCUGUUUUGAAACCGUAUUAAUCAGCCCUGUGCUUGCUCUCAUGCUAACCGGACCCUGGCAUUUUGCUGAAGCAACAAGGCCAAGUUGAUAAGAUGAGCUAUGACAGAUAGGAUAGGUCAGGGCUUGUGGAGCAGAUAGAGGGUAUUCUAUUUGCAGCAUGAAUGUGAGAGCAGCUAAGGAAAAG
ensembl:lncRNA